AUUCUGCCCAAGCGGAGAAGGAUGAGAAGCUUCGACUAAGGUUCGACUCGAGCGCCAGCGAGAGAGCGUUGCCGCAGGCACGACCUGAAGGGCGAAGCGCGCAGCGCUGAGUAAUCCUUCCCCCACCACCA
rnacentral:sRNA from 1 species